rnacentral:pre_miRNA from 9 species
CCCUGCCGGGGCUAAAGUGCUGACAGUGCAGAUAGUGGUCCUCUCCAUGCUACCGCACUGUGGGUACUUGCUGCUCCAGUAGGG